UACGUAGGGGGCAAGCGUUGUCCGGAUUUAUUGGGCGUAAAGAGCGUGUAGGCGGCCAGAUAGGUCAGCUGUGAAAACUCGAGGCUCAACCUCCGAGACGUCGGUUGAAACCAUCUGGCUAGAGUCCGGAAGAGGAGAGUGGGAAUUCCCGGUGUAGCGGUGAAAUGCGCAGAUAUCGGGAAGAACACCCGUGGCGAAGGCGGCUCUCUGGGACGGUACUGACGCUGAGACGCGAAAGCGUGGGGAGCGAACGAGG
rnacentral:rRNA from 1 species